AAAACCCUACUGUGUUCGUAAAAUGAUCUCGUGUUUUGAACCAACAUCUUUUACAUUGGGAGUCCGGGCUCUAUGGUUGCCAGGCAAUGCCUUCACUGGACUGUCGAACUCCAUAGGAGGACACCCACCUGCUCAGGCAGGCUCAAAACUUGGUUUAUAAACGGCAUGGUGGGGCUUCU
rfam:Megasphaera sp. DJF_B143 contig_10, whole genome shotgun sequence.